UACGAAGGGGGCUAGCGUUGCUCGGAAUGACUGGGCGUAAAGGGCGCGUAGGCGGUUUGUACAGUCAGAUGUGAAAUUCCCGGGCUCAACCUGGGGGCUGCAUUUGAUACGUAUGGACUUGAGUUCGGAAGAGGGUCGUGGAAUUCCCAGUGUAGAGGUGAAAUUCGUAGAUAUUGGGAAGAACACCGGUGGCGAAGGCGGGUUGCUGGGCUGACACUGACGCUGAUGCGCGAAAGCUAGGGGAGCGAACGGG
rnacentral:rRNA from 1 species